ensembl:miRNA
GUGGGGAGGGUCAGGCCAGGAAGGGAUGUGAGGAUCAUUCUGGAAGACCCGCAUCCUGCUGACCUGCUCUCUCUGC